UUGUACAGUAAAUGUAAUUCAGCUGUGGUCCCCACGUUUUGCUGUGUCUGGUGGGGUGGGUCUGGCAGUGGCGGUGCCCCGUGCCAGGGGCCAGUGCUGCUUCAUACCCGGCAAACUGACCUCUGGCCUUUGUUUUGCCUGCUGUUCCCUGCGCUGACCGGGCUGACCUGCCGCAGUUGGCUGGGUUCGCCUCAAAGUGAGGGCUGGAGCUGGGCUGGAGCUGGGCUGGAGCUGGGCUGGAGCUGGGCUGGAGCUGGGCUGGAGCAGCUGGGCCUGGUCACGGCCAUUCUCCUCUUCCCGGUGGAUGGAAUCCCAGCUGGGCUGUGCUGAGCCCUCGCUCACAGUCCCCGGCAGCAGAUGGCCUGGGGCGGACUGUCCCCAACAGCAGCAGGACUCCAGAGGGCCAGGUCAUCCAGUCAGUCGGCCCCCUCAGCAGAGAGCCGCCUGCACGCUGGCCAAUCUGGUGCCUGCUAUGCCCGGCCCAGGGGGGUGUGGAUGCCCCGGAGGUCACAGCUGAGCUGGAACGGGGCACUCCAGUUGGUACAGGGACCACAGCCUCUGGCUCAGGUGCCUCCCUGUGCUGUUUCGUGGGCAUGUCCCGGCCUUAAGCCCCUCCCUGGCAGCUCCAGCCCAGCCGCCUGCUGCUGGGUCUGGCCUAGCUACCCCCACCCCCACGCUAUCAGGGCCCACCCCCGGUCCCCUUGUAGAGCAGGGACUGGCACCUGGAGCCAUCUCUGGGUCUCAUUCUGACCAGACCAGGCUCCUGUUACCCUGCCUCCUGGGUCAGAGGUCAGACACAGGGUCAGGGGGACACUCCCAUCCGGUCUCAAGAGAACCACUCCCUGAGGCCCCAGACAUCUGGAGCCACAGAGGGUUUGGAAGGGUAGAUUCCAGGCAGCCUUUUGUCCUGCUGCGCCAGGCAGGCCAGCCCCCUGCCCUCCCCAACGAAGAGGAGCCAGCCUGGGGAUGUGUGCCCCGCCGACGGAGGGGGUGGGGCAGGGCAAGGCUCUGGUGCCCUGGGACACUUGCUCUUUUCAGCUGCAGACGCCCUUACACUUGGCCUUCCCUCGGGCGGUGCCAUCCCACGCGGAGCCACGUCCAGGGCUACACGGUGCGUGGGCCGAGGCUCCGGCAUCAGCGUUUGGGGCUGUUCUUAUGUUUGUGGCGGCCACAGGCCUCUUCCUGCUGCACCUGCCCCACCUUGGGGACAGGCCUGAGCCCCAAGCCCGCAGCCUGGUUUCAGGGAUGGGGUCUCUGGGAAUGCAGUCCUGCCGGGUUGGGCCCCACUCCAACAGGGGCAGCAGAGCAGAGGAGGCCGGGCUGUGCUGGGCGUCCUGCAGACCCCUGUGCCCCUGAAACAGCCAUGGAGGGGGGAAGGAACCUCGGAGCGGAGUGAAGCCCUCGGCCGCACGUGACCGUUGCCAGCCUGGACCUGGCCUGGGGGACCCAGGCUGUGGUCAGCCACGCUCUGCGGGGAGGGCCUGUGCCUGCCACCCCCACGGCAUAGGAGCCUGGGGUCCAGAGGGCGUCAGGGACAAAAGCUGGGAUCUGCUGGCCCUGCCCCCACCCUACUGAGGGUCGUCAAGGAGAUUGAUCUCAGCCCAGGGGUGGAGGAAGGGGUUCAGGUUACAGGGUCCCCUCCCCUCCCCCUCUCCAGCCAGAGCCAGCCCUUCUCCGCCCCCGGUGACCCUCAUGGCCAGUGGCUCUGUGCUCAUGGGCCUCUGGCCCCUCCCCAACCUCCUCCCCUCUGCCCUGUGCUGACCAGGGCCUGGGAGCCCCCGCACGGUUCAGACAGAGGGGCCAGGCUGAAGCUGGAGAGGAACCAGCGUCACACAGACGGCCUCUGAGAACUUGGAGACCCCGUUACCCACCCAGCAGGGGUGUCAGGACAAGCAUCUGCUGCAGGCUUCAGCCUCAGGGGCAAAAGGGAGCCCCGGGGUCCCAGUGGGGGCGCCGACCACAGGCCCGGAGGGUGGAUGCCUGCAGGAAGCUGGGCUCUGUGGAGCCCGAGGAGGGGCUGGUGGCCACACCCCCCGGCCCCCUGGCUUGGCGGCCCUCAUGCCCGCCCUACGUCCACUCCUGCCGCUCCUGCUCCUCCUCCGGCUGACCUCGGGGGCCGGCUUGCUGCCAGGGCCGGGGAGCCACCCGGGCGUGUGCCCCAACCAGCUCAGCCCCAACCUGUGGGUGGACGCCCAGAGCACCUGUGAGCGCGAGUGUAGCAGGGACCAGGUGAGUGUGGUCGGGCCGGGGUCCCGGGGCUCAGAGCAGCCAGCCUGGGCAAGACCCUGCUGGAGGUGCCACCUUCUGCCUGGGCUCCCCAGACUUCUGGGGGGUCUGGGUCUGGGCCCCUUAAGGGGCCCAGAGACACCCCCAUCGUUGCCCUCAUUUGUCUUAAGAAUAAGAGCCCUCCCCACUCCAGCUUUCAUGCUCCCCAUGUGCCUCCACCCUGGGCACCAUCAUCCUCGGCGACCACCCCCACCCCGUCACUGCCUCUCCUCCCACCCUCUCCUCCCACCCUCUCCUCCCAUCCACUCCUCCCAUCCACUUCUCCCACCCCAUCACUGCCUCUCCUUCCAUCCUCUCCUAUCCACUCCUCCCAUCCACUUUUUCCAUCCUCUUCUCCCACCCUGUCACUGCUUCUCCUUCCAUCCUCUCCUCCCACUCUCUCCUCCCAUCCACUUCUUCCAUCCUCUUCUCCCACCCGUCACUGCCUCUCCUUCCAUCCUCUCCUCCCAUCCACUUCUCCCACCCCUUCACUGCCUCUCCUCCCACUCUCUCCUCCCAUCCUCUCCUCCCAUCCACUUCUCCCACCCCUUCACUGCCUCUCCUCCCACUCUCUCCUCCCAUCCACUUCUUCCAUCCUCUUCUCCCACCCAUCACUGCCUCUCCUUCCAUCCUCUCCUCACAUCCUCUCCUCCCAUCCACUUCUCCCACCCCAUUCACUGCCUCUCCUCCCAUCCUCUCCUCCCACCCUCUCCUCCCAUCCACUCUUCCCAUCCACUUCUUCCAUCCUCUUCUCCCACCCCGUCACUGCCUCUCCUUCCAUCCUCUCCUCCCACCCUCUCCUUCCAUCCUCUCCUCCCACCCUCUCCUUCCAUCCUCUCCUCCCACCCUCUCCUUCCAUCCUCUCCUCCCACCCUCUCCUUCCAUCCACUGUCCUCCCUGUCCUCCCACCCUCCUUCCAUCCGGGACCAGUGCAGAUGGUGGUGGGGGUGCUGCAGCUGAUGUCCAGCCUUUGUCCUGGCCUGCACCACCUGCUGGGUGGCCCUGAGCACUGUACGCCCUCCUUGGGCCUCAGUUUCCUCAUCUGUACAACGUAAAGAAUAACGGAACUUGCUUGUGGGUGUGAGGAUUCUGGAAGGUGAAGCCAGGUGGCACCUCUGGCGAGGUGGCUCCUCACACAGGAUGGAAAGGACACUGAGUCCCCGGGGAGGCAGCCCUGGAGGCAGCCACAGAGCGGGGGGCUCCCUGCUACCCCACCUGGGCCUCCCCUUGCAGGGGCCAGGCCAGAGCCCCCGGGCGGGGGGCAUCGGGGCUCCCACCUAAGUGUCCCCCAUCCCCAGGACUGUGCGGCUGCUGAGAAGUGCUGCAUCAACGUGUGUGGACUGCGCAGCUGCGUGGCAGCACGCUUCCCCGGCAGCCCAGCUGCACCCACGACAGCGGCCUCCUGCGAGGGCUUUGCGUGCCCACAGCAGGGCUCGGACUGCGACAUCUGGGACGGGCAGCCCGUGUGCCGCUGCCGCGACCGCUGUGAGAAGGAGCCCAGCUUCACCUGCGCCUCGGACGGCCUCACCUACUACAACCGCUGCUAUAUGGACGCCGAGGCCUGCCUGCGGGGCCUGCACCUCCACAUCGUGCCCUGCAAGCACGUGCUCAGCUGGCCGCCCAGCAGCCCGGGGCCGCCGGAGACCACUGCCCGCCCCACACCUGGGGCCGCGCCCGUGCCUCCUGCCCUGUACAGCAGCCCCUCCCCACAGGCGGUGCAGGUGGGGGGUACGGCCAGCCUCCACUGCGACGUCAGCGGCCGCCCGCCGCCUGCUGUGACCUGGGAGAAGCAGAGUCACCAGCGGGAGAACCUGAUCAUGCGCCCUGAUCAGAUGUAUGGCAACGUGGUGGUCACCAGCAUCGGGCAGCUGGUGCUCUACAACGCGCGGCCCGAAGACGCCGGCCUGUACACCUGCACCGCGCGCAACGCUGCUGGGCUGCUGCGGGCUGACUUCCCACUCUCUGUGGUCCAGCGAGAGCCGGCCAGGGACGCAGCCCCCAGCAUCCCAGCCCCGGCCGAGUGCCUGCCAGAUGUGCAGGCCUGCACGGGCCCCACUUCCCCACAACUUGUCCUCUGGCACUACGACCCGCAGCGGGGCGGCUGCAUGACCUUCCCGGCCCGUGGCUGUGAUGGGGCGGCCCGCGGCUUUGAGACCUACGAGGCAUGCCAGCAGGCCUGUGCCCGCGGCCCCGGCGACGCCUGCGUGCUGCCUGCCGUGCAGGGCCCCUGCCGGGGCUGGGAGCUGCGCUGGGCCUACAGCCCGCUGCUGCAGCAGUGCCAUCCCUUCGUGUACGGUGGCUGCGAGGGCAACGGCAACAACUUCCACAGCCGCGAGAGCUGCGAGGAUGCCUGCCCCGUGCCGCGCACACCGCCCUGCCGUGCCUGCCGCCUCCGGAGCAAGCUGGCGCUGAGCCUGUGCCGCAGCGACUUCGCCAUCGUGGGGCGGCUCACGGAGGUGCUGGAGGAGCCUGAGGCCGCUGGCGGCAUCGCCCGCGUGGCGCUCGAGGACGUGCUCAAGGAUGACAAGAUGGGCCUCAAGUUCUUGGGCACCAAGUACCUGGAGGUGACGCUGAGUGGCAUGGACUGGGCCUGCCCCUGCCCCAACAUGACGGCGGGCGACGGGCCGCUGGUCAUCAUGGGUGAGGUGCGCGAUGGCGUGGCCGUGCUGGACGCCGGCAGCUACGUCCGCGCCGCCAGCGAGAAGCGCGUCAAGAAGAUCUUGGAGCUGCUGGAGAAGCAGGCCUGCGAGCUGCUCAACCGCUUCCAGGACUAGCCCCCGCAGGGGCCUGCGCCACCCCGUCCUGGUGAAUAAACGCACUCCCUGUGCCCCAG
rnacentral:sRNA from 1 species